AUUCCAUAUAGCAUGCUUUCAGUUAGUGCCUUUGGAAAUUUCUAGCAGUUUCUUAUAGAUUAUCAAAAGUCUUUCCAUCUAAUUCAGCUUUUAGACUAUAGCUUAACUUAAUGUGACCGUGAACGCUGUGAUUCAGCAAAUCUAUCCUAAAUAAUGUAUUAUCAAAGAAGAGAACGGAUAUAAGAUUUUUAAAAAACAGAUAGUAAUGUGGUUUCCUUAUUGUUUAUUUGUAUCCCUUCUGUACUUUUUUCAUUCUCCUGUCUUUAUACUCUGUCCCUCUUUUCCUUUCCCUUGCCUUUAUUCUUCUCACAGGGCUCAUAUUUUUCCUUCUGUUAUCUUUUAUCCUGCUCUUCCCUGAGUCCUCUUUUGUCCUCCCUGACCUAUCUUCCCACUUAAAAUACUUUCUUCCUGGCCUCAUGGAGCAUCGCCAUGGUGACUGCAUGAUGUCACUGCAUGGGGAGCUGUUGCCCAGGAAACAGUAUGAUGUCAUUGCACUAGAGACAGUUGCUAUGGUUACUGAGUUGGCUGAGGUAACUGGGAAUAAAGGAGUUGUUAUCAGACCAGAGCCAGGAAAUGUUCCCUUUAAUGGGAAUAAUAAAAAAAAAGACACUUUUAAUGUAUUUAUGUUUCAGGGCGGUUUGCCUGUGAUUCAAAGUCCCCAGUUAUUUUUCUGAUGCAGUGUGCUCAAUUUGGGCUUCUUUCAGUUGGGCUGAGUGAUCUUGCUCAUCUGUUUCUACUCUUGAAUGUUAUUGUGGACAUCACACCACAGUAAAAUGGAAAAAAGAACUGUGUUGUCCCGUGCUUCUGUGUAAUAUGUGUUCCCACCUGUUGUUGCUGUUUGCUUUUUCCUGUUUGGUUUCUGUGUUUUCUGUGAUGAAUAGUCCAGCCCAGUUAUUAUCCCAGCUGAUGUCAGAGAUACGCUAACAGUGAAUAUUACAUGUCUGAGCUUGCUUCAUCUGCCCCAGGCUCUGUCUGUAAAAGGCAAGCUAUAAUUUGUUUUCCACUUCUUUUCUGCCUUCUACCUGCUUUUUGUUUUUCAUUGUAGUCAUUGCAGGAGUUCCAGGAAAAGUCCAAUGCGAAAAGUGAAGCAGAGAUUCAAUAAAAAGUAGGAGGCAGCUAUUAGAGAUGAAGAAAUACAUGCAAGAUUGCACUUCACUGAGAGCAAUGUGGAAAUGUGUGUAGCUGAUCGUGUUUCAUGUGAGGAUGCAGGAACGUGAAUAGUGGUAGGUCAGCAGGAAACAGCAAUUGUAAGAGAUGGCAACAAGAUAAAACAGCUAAUGGAGGUGAAAAGUGGCAGUCAGUCAGCACUGAGAGGCUCAUAACGGUCAGGGAUUUAGCAGUACCAAAAUUAGAAGAGCUGAUUUGUUUCUGCAGAGGUUAGACGGUUUGAAGAGGGUGAGUAGUUUAACACAAUUACCACUUUGUCUGUCCUUCUUGUUCAUCUUCUCACAGUAGAACAUGAGGAAACAAACUCUACAGCACCUGUGAAGGUGACACAUCUUUUUAAUGUGCUGGUAUCAUCAAACACACAUUGAAAUGUAGGUGACCAAUCCAUGCCUAAGUUAAAUUCCCAGAAAUAUCCACACCCAUUAAUAUGUCAUCAUUCUAUCAUGCCCUGUCACUCUGAUAUACACAACAAAAUCCCCAUGUAAAUACAGAUGUUAUAUGUACUGGUAAGCGUGUAUACCGUGGACUGAAAUAAUACCUGUAUAGGUGUAAUCAAUAAAACUGUUAAACUCUGAGGUGCUCUAAAAUCCCUUCUAGGAAUGUUCAGCAUUCUUCAAAAUGAUGAAUAAAAUCUAUCCAAAGGCUGCAUCAUAUUGAUCUUCCAUAUCACAGGGAACAUUUAAAUGGUGCUUUUUCAUUUUUCUUUCAUAACAGAAAACAGUUUUCAGGCAAUUGUUCAGCUUUUAUCCUGACCAGGGAUUCCCACUUCUUACUGUUCCCUGUUUCAGAUAAUUUUCUGCUGUUGGAACAGUCAAUAGGUUUGUUUAAAUGUUUGUUGCAAUGCUAUAUUUUUCAUUAUUUCCAAAAAUAAUGUUUCCUUUGAGUUCUCUCCAACAAUGUUUUCUGGCUCUACUGAUAUUCCAUAAGCUUCAUAUUAUAUUUUGUGCAGUGGAAACAUAACAGUGUUAUUUCCUUUUUUUCCUUGUUAAAUUUUCUGGUGAAACUCUGUGGAAACAAGAGGCUACUGUGCAACAAGAGCUCCAGGGACCCUGUAGAGCAAGUUGUAUGUACGUACCAGUCUAUUAUACUACUGGAUUAUGAUCUUUUUCUUCCCCAACUUGAAUUUCUUGUAUCAAAUUAAUCUGUUAAACAUAAAAAUAAUAAUUUAUUUGUUGCUCUUUAUUGCUCAAGUGUAAUCAAAACAUAUCCACAAGGCCUGAAGCUAUCCAUUGUUCAAGAAUGAUUACAUUUAUUUCAAGUAAAAUGAAGUAUGAGUGAUUGGGCUUCUUAUUAGG
rnacentral:lncRNA from 1 species